GACGACGCUGGCGGCGUGGAUUAGGCAUGCAAGUCGAACGGUAUCAUCCUUCGGGGGUGAGAGAGUGGCGAACUGGUGAGUAACACGUAGGUUAUCUACCUCAAGACGGGGACAACCCAGGGAAACUUGGGCUAAUACCGGAUGUGAGCAACUUUUAGUUGUUUGAAGGGUGGCGUAAGCUGUCGCUUGGGGAUGAGCCUGCGUCCUAUUAGUUAGUUGGUGAGGUAACGGCUCACCUAGGCAAUGAUAGGUAGGCGGCCUUAACGGGUGGUCGCCCACACUGGGAUUGAGAUACGGCCCAGACUCCUACGGGAGGCAGCAGUCGAGAAUAGUCUACAAUGGUCGGAAGACUGAUAGUGCGACGCCGCGUGAACGAUGAAUCCCUUCGGGGUGUAAAGUUCUUUUAUAUGUGAGCAGUGCUUCUUAUAUUAACAGUAUGGGGAGAGAGAUAUUAGCAUAUGAAUAAGCAACGGCUAACUCCGUG
rnacentral:rRNA from 1 species